ACGAGUGUGCUCUUGGGAGAGCAGUCAGCCUCCAAAACUGACGGAUAGGGUUCGAAUCCUUACGCUCGUGC
rnacentral:tRNA from 1 species